UGCCGUGAGGGAAGCCCCGGGGGGCGGGAACGGCGCUGCCCCUCAGGGACCCUUUCACCGAAUACACGGACAACAGCAACGACGGUUUGCCACACCCUUCCUCACUUAACAGUGCUGAACUCUUUGUCAAACAGUGGUCGUGUCUUAUCAUCCACCAGCCUCAGUUCACAGCUAUUCUGACUAAGGCCUACCAGUGCUGCCGCAAUACUAAUUCUUCCCCAUCCGGUGCGCCGCAGCAGAUACACUGCAGCGUGGAGUCCCCCCACGUUCACCCACACCGUCUGAGCUCGGCGCCAGAUGUGUCCCACCCGUGACAAGGCCUGCAAGCCAAAACCAGCCAGAGAGCAGCGUUAAGACAGUAGUACUAUUUUUUAUUAGUCUAAAUCACAUCUGAUGGCAAUGUCAAGGGACUUUUCACACCCAGAACUGCAUUUAGAUGUUAGUAAUUUUUGCUCAAUAAAUAAAACAUCUGUAAUGA